AACGAACGCUGGCGGCAUACCUAACACAUGCAAGUCGAACGAGACCUUCGGGUCUAGUGGCGCACGGGUGCGUAACGCGUGGGAACCUGCCCUUAGGUUCGGAAUAACUCCCCGAAAGGGGUGCUAAUACCGGAUAAUGUCUUCGGACCAAAGAUUUAUCGCCUUUGGAUGGGCCCGCGUUGGAUUAGCUAGUUGGUAGGGUAAAAGCCUACCAAGGCGACGAUCCAUAGCUGGUCUGAGAGGAUGAUCAGCCACACUGGGACUGAGACACGGCCCAGACUCCUACGGGAGGCAGCAGUGGGGAAUAUUGGACAAUGGGCGAAAGCCUGAUCCAGCAAUGCCGCGUGAGUGAUGAAGGCCUUAGGGUUGUAAAGCUCUUUUACCCGGGAUGAUAAUGACAGUACCGGGAGAAUAAGCUCCGGCGAACUCCGU
rnacentral:rRNA from 1 species